AACGAACGCUGGCGGCAGGCCUAACACAUGCAAGUCGAGCGAGGACUUCGGUUCUAGCGGCGGACGGGUGAGUAACGCGUGGGAAUGUGCCCUUCUCUACGGAAUAGCCCUGGGAAACUGGGAGUAAUACCGUAUACGCCCUAUCGGGGUAAGAUUUAUCGGGGAAGGAUCAGCCCGCGUUGGAUUAGGUAGUUGGUGGGGUAAUGGCCUACCAAGCCGACGAUCCAUAGCUGGUUUGGGAGGAUGAUCAGCCACACUGGGACUGAGACACGGCCCAGACUCCGGCGGGAGGGGGGGGGAGGGAAGCUUAAAGGAUGGAGGCAAACCUGAGCUAGCCCGGGCGCGGGAGGGAUGAAGGCGGUUGGGAAGUUAAGCUCGUUCGGCAGGGAAGGUAAUGACGGUACCUGCAGAAGGAGCCCCGGCUAACUUCGUG
rnacentral:rRNA from 1 species